GUUGAAGACGAGCCCUUGUUAAGGAUUCAAAGAUGUCGGACGCGUUUUCCGUCCAGUCUGUCCAGGUCGACACACCGCUUCCUUCUGGUGGACCCCAACGUGCUGAAGGCCACAAAGCAAAGUGGAAAAGGAGGAGUGAGAAGCGAGCUCGGGGCGCCGCUCAAGGAGCUCAGCACAAGAGCGAGUUGAAGGAACUUGCCUUGCACGGAUGGAAGAGCGGGAGGAGCAAGGAGCAAAAAGUAAGGGAGCAAGGAAGAAAGGAGCGACGUCUGACAGGCAGCAGUGCUCAGCGGCAGCCACUACAGUUUGCACUCGGACAAAAGGAGUAGUUGAGUAUGUUUAACUAGACAGCUGCUUUUUUGCUCAUUAAAAGCAUUUUUCACGAGCCGUUGACUGUUUGCACGCACACGCGCUCACGCACACACACACACACUUGCUCUAUUAACGCACUUCCAUACGACUGUUAUAUUCCUGUAGCACGCGCGUACGCAGUCACUAGUUGAACGUUUUAGCAUCGUGCUAACUAGCUUCCUUGUUAGCAUCCUUGUUAGCACUGAUGAAAUGAAGUCGAAAACCAAAAAGUCCUGUCUAGCUACAAAAACAGAUAUGCUCACACCUCAUUGAAUAAAGUACAUAAGCAGACAAGUAUAUUCACAUAUUAAAUCAAUAACAGAAACAUUUUAAGCAUAUAAUUAUACCUACUACCAAAUCAAUAAAGAAGACAUAACUGAACAUUUUUGAUAUGUGGUAAUGAGAAAGGUUUUUAUAACUUCAUGAACUGAUAUGUAUUUCUGUGCACUUUGAAAUAAAUGUUUUCUGAUAUAUUGCCCGAAUAGCUUAACGACGCUUAAGGAACUGUUUAAUGCAUGCCUGAUGUUUUUCUAAAUCACGGACACUGCCAAAGGCGUCUAAGAAUGUUUAGUACUUGAUUAUAUCUUAUGUUUUGAUUAAUGCUUGAUGUGACGUCGUAUGUCGCCUAAUCCUAGACGCCACCUUUGGAUUACUACUGAAUGUUCUGGACAGGAGGAAAUGUUUUGCCUAACAAUGAAAAGAUAGAGUUGGAAGCAUGAUUAAAUGUGACGAAGUAAGCAAGUACAUGGAGUGUCAAAAGAGCAAACAAACAAAUGCAUGGUAAGUGGUGAGUAAGAACUUUGCAUAGUCAGGGAACAUUAACGAAUUGAUGAUGUCACACCCAAAAUUUCAAAUAAUUCCGUACAAAAUGACAAAAGUGGAAGGACGAUGAAUGGACGGUGUGUGACAGUGGGUAAAGUGGAUGUUUGUGCAAGAAUGGAGGAAAAUGUUUACAGGAAGGACACUUGGAGCAGGAGGAAAACAGCCGAAAACCCGGUCAUCGGCCAAGGCCGAAAGACGGGAUGGAAAAUAACAGCCCCCACACAUAUCAAAUCGCCAAUAACCAGCACCCAACCCCACGGAACCAGCUCUCACCGAACCAGCACCCACUCCCAUGGAACUCUCCUGCGAACUUGCCCCACCCCCUGGACUCAUCACCCAUCAAACUCUGCCCACACCGGCAUGUGCUACUGAAUAUAAACUGACCAAAGAACCUUGAACGUUGCCUUUUCUGAAUGGAGACUUUCUGCUCUUGAGCAUUGUCGCACGAAAGGCCCAGCGCUGUAUUGUACUUUCCUGAAAACAGAGCUUUCUUAACAAGAAUUGUGAUUUAACUCAA